UACGAAGGGGGCUAGCGUUGCUCGGAAUCACUGGGCGUAAAGCGCACGUAGGCGGCUUCUUAAGUCAGGGGUGAAAUCCUGGAGCUCAACUCCAGAACUGCCUUUGAUACUGGGAAGCUUGAGUCCGGGAGAGGUGAGUGGAACUGCGAGUGUAGAGGUGAAAUUCGUAGAUAUUCGCAAGAGCACCAGUGGCGAAGGCGGCUCACUGGCCCGGUACUGACGCUGAGGUGCGAAAGCGUGGGGAGCAAACAGG
rnacentral:rRNA from 1 species